GACGAACGCUGGCGGCGUGCUUAACACAUGCAAGUCGAGCGAUGAGGCUCCUUCGGGAGUGGAUUAGCGGCGGACGGGUGAGUAACACGUGGGUAACCUGCCUCAUAGAGGGGAAUAGCCUUCCGAAAGGAAGAUUAAUACCGCAUAAGAUUGUAGCUUCGCAUGAAGCAGCAAUUAAAGGAGCAAUCCGCUAUGAGAUGGACCCGCGUCGCAUUAGCUAGUUGGUGAGGUAACGGCUCACCAAGGCGACGAUGCGUAGCCGACCUGAGAGGGUGAUCGGCCACAUUGGGACUGAGACACGGCCCAGACUCCUACGGGAGGCAGCAGUGGGGAAUAUUGCACAAUGGGGGAAACCCUGAUGCAGCAACGCCGCGUGAGUGAUGACGGUCUUCGGAUUGUAAAACUCUGUCUUCAGGGACGAUAAUGACGGUACCUGAGGAGGAAGCCACGGCUAACUACGUGCCAGCCGCCGCGGUAACAC
rnacentral:rRNA from 1 species